UACGGGGGGAGCAAGCGUUGUUCGGAUUUACUGGGCGUAAAGGGCGCGUAGGCGGCCUUCUAAGUCAGACGUGAAAUCCCUCGGCUCAACUGGGGAACUGCGUCUGAGACUGGAAGGCUUGAAUCCGGGAGAGGGAUGUGGAAUUCCAGGUGUAGCGGUGAAAUGCGUAGAUAUCUGGAGGAACACCGGUGGCGAAGGCGGCAUCCUGGACCGGUAUUGACGCUGAGGCGCGAAAGCCAGGGGAGCAAACGGG
rnacentral:rRNA from 1 species